UUCACCUCAAUCUGGAAUGGUGAAGUUGUAGGUGGGUAUCUCUCAACAACUUUUCCAGUUUUGUCCACCAAGAACUUCUCAAAAUUCCAUUUCACAAGAUCACCCAAAAAUCCUCCAGCACUCGACUUAAGAAACUUAUAAAUAGGGGCUGUGUUAGGCCCUUAACAUACCUUGUCAAAAAUAGGAAAUUCAGCUUUAAACCUUGUACAAGCAAACUGCUUAAUCUGCGGGUUUGACCCAGGUUCUUGUGCACCAAACUGAUUGCAAGGAAAUGCAAGAAUCUCAAAUCCUGCAAAAUCAGAUGAAUAUACAGUAUAUCAGAGGAGCAAUGUAUUAAGAAAAAAUACCACUGAGAUGCAACAUUAACAAUUAGCAGCGCCCUUCCCUUGAACUUGCUAAGCGCAACAUCUUUUCCAUCAAUGUCCUGCACA
rnacentral:sRNA from 1 species